UAGUGCAACGGCCAGUUGCCUGGCGAAAUAAGGGGGCCAUGGCUUUGGGAGUGUCCUCCUGUUUCAAUACAGGUGAACACUAUAGAGCGUACAAUCCAGAAGGGCUCAGAUUUUGCAAGCCAGAGUUCUAGGAUUAGUAUCGUGACGCCUACUUGACAAGAAUAAGGUGCACUGCUCUCAUGCCAUUGACCAACACCUUCAGGGCAACAAGCCUGACCUUGAUCCAAGUCACCGAAUCUUUCAAAUGAACAACUCCAAGAGAAGCAGGUUUGAAUUUUCUCGUCGAUU
rnacentral:lncRNA from 1 species